ACGCUCGACACCUACGGGAGACAGCAGUCGGGAAUAUUGCGCAAUGGAGGAAACUCUGACGCAGUGACGCCGCGUAUGGGAAGAAGGUUUUCGGAUUGUAAACCAUUUUAGACAAGGAAGAAACAAGACAGUACUUGUAGAAUAAGCUCCGGCUAACUACGUGGCAGCAGCCGCGGUAAUCUGAGCGGGCUGGCAAGGC
rnacentral:rRNA from 1 species